GAUGAACGCUGGCGGCGUGCCUAAUACAUGCAAGUCGGACGGAGCGCUUCGGCGCUCAGUGGCGAACGGGUGAGUAGCACAUGGGCAACCUGCCCUUCAGAGGGGGACAACAGCUGGAAACGGCUGUUAAUACCGCAUAUGCACACAGUGCCGCAUGGCACAGGGUGGAAAGAAAUUCGGUGAGAGAUGGACCCGCGUUGGAUUAGCUUGUUGGCGGGGUAACGGCCCACCAAGGCGAUGAUCCAUAGCCGGCCUGAGAGGGCGACCGGCCACAUUGGGACUGAGACACGGCCCAA
rnacentral:rRNA from 1 species